CACCUCCAAACCAAGGUGUUAAUUAUGUCAUUGGCUCUGUGAUACAGCUGCUGACUUCACUUAUUCUCCUUAAUAACCCCCACUAACUAAUGGCUUGGCUGCUAUUAAACUGGCACAAAGUGGCAAACUCAGUGAAAGGGCUCCACGUGCCCACAGCCAUCUAAACCCUCUAAUCUUAAAACUAGAUUGGACUUUUAUCUUCAGAAAGGAGUUUCAUGUAAUAACAUUUACUUUUCUUGCAGGUGUCAGUGAAAGGGCUGAAGGAUUUCGUUCCAGCUGCAUCAUGGUUUCAUUUACUCCUUAGUAAAAAUAGACUUUGGGGAUUUAAUCUGGUAGCUUUUCCCAGAAGAACUAAGAUUGCUUGUCUGUAGAUUCAGAGAUGGAAGGUUCUGGUUUAACUUUUUUUUUUUUUCUUUUCCCUUUCUUCUUCAUUUCUUUCAGGGUUCUGUGCUUGUGGUAUGUCCUAAUUAGUUUUUAGGUAAAUUAAUCUUCAAGUGACCCUGGGAGGUGGGAAGUUCAUUCUCGCCCAUUCCCUGUUUCUUUCUGACUAUCUAAUUAUUCACCAGUGCUGUAGGGGUUGUGUUCUAGAAAGGCAACUCAGCAUGGGGUUAAGCAGUGCCCAAACAGAGGGAGAAGGGUAAAAAAUUACCAUAUUUGACAGGCACACAGCUGCUUUGAGAUUGUCAUUCUCUGGUUUUCAUUUCUGUCCUGUUGGUGUUGUAAAUUAUUAAUCAAACAGUGAUUACCUGUACAACCCUCUGAAUUUCCAAAGAGCUCUGUUAAUAUGAACUAACACACCUGUCAUGUGCUCAAGGGAAGUUAUGAACUCAGAGCCAAAUUUUCCCCUGCAUUCUGCUGCUGCAUUUUGCUUAUGAGUCAAGGAGUUUGGCAGGCAGGAAGGAGCAUAAUUUUGCCCUGAAUUAAGCAGGAAAGACUUGUGAUACAGGCUGGGAUAAAGUUUUUUAAGAACAGAGGAAAAUGCUGGCUCGGGUGCCCAUAAAGAACCUGUACAAUGUAGAAAAAAAGUGAAAAUUCUGCAGGCACCGUGGUUUAAAGGAUAAAGUUGAGAGUGCCUAAAAAUGAUAAGGAAAGAAUUUAAAUAAAAAGUUUUGGGAAAAGCAAGGAGAUAUCAGGAUAGCUGUGGAAGAAAAAAUAAGUGCUGCAAAAAUUUUGUAAAGUCUUAGAAGAGUAUAAUUGAAUUUUGGGGCUAUCUAAUAAAAGAAGUAAACUUGGGGGAUAAGUGAUGUCAUCAGGUCAUGAAAAAAGGAAGACAGGCUCAGCUGCAGUGUCUGAAGGCUCUCUGGAAAGAUGGAAGUUGAAGCCAGACAGGUAGGACUGGAAAAAGUUUGCAUUAUUUUAUCUUUUUCAUUUGCAGUUGCUGGAGUUGGGUUUGAUUUGCAAGGAGUAGAGAUGGUAAAAUGCAUUCAGUGACUGGCAGAAAAAAGGCCCCAGCAGUACAGGUUCAAUACUCACAGUCAGAAUGGAGAGGGCACAAAUGCCUCGGUAUAAAAUAACCUUAUUCAUUUGGGAAAAAAAUGUGGGUUGUAUUCAGUUUCUUUGAGUUUUUACAGCAAAACUUUUUACUUUUCUAGAACUAAAACAUAUUGGUUUACUUUUGUUCCCCGUCAGCCUUGGAGUAGUUCAAGACCUAAAGACUGAAAGAGCAAAUUGAAAAAAAUGUUUUCCCACCUUCUUCUUACCUUUUGACCUUUUUUGGAGAAGAAAAGCAAAGUGUGUCUAGGGUUGAGACACCAAAGAGAUGAGCUGGGUGAGAAAGAGACACCAAGGUGAGCGAGAGGGUUCUAAAACCCAAAAGUCAGCUUUUAUCUGAAUGCAAACUGGAACAGAGCAACAUUUGAAACAGAGGAAACUCAGCAAGACAGAUCAAAAUGGCAGAGCUCUCCCCAUUGUCACGCAGGACCCUUGAGGUCUUUCUCAGUCCAGCGAGUUUCAGUGUGUUCCUUGUUUGCAGCACGUUCCAGCUCUCAGUCCCUCUGGGGAACUGUUCCCUUUCCCUCGCUUCUAAAGUUUGACUCUGCAUCUGCUCCCCAGCAAACCCACCAGCCUUCUGCUGCAGACUGAUUGUUUUCUGCCUGUUUUUCCCACCUUGUAACCCAGGACCUGCUUUUCCUCACUGAUUUCUGCACUUUUGGUUGCUUUACAAGAUGUAACAACUCCUGUUCGUGCCAGAGGGUCUCACCUUGGCCUGGGCCACACGGAUGUGAACACAAACCUUCCUCCUGCCUGCUCAGCCUUUCAGCACAGCAGAGCACACCAACCAAACAGAGCCAGAUCCAGCAUUUCCCUUCCCAACACCUGCUCCCUCCCACCCUCAAUUCCACACCACUAUAUACAAAUACUUGGAAUACUUAUUUUUUUUUAAAGGAUCAAAUUAAUCAUUUGAUAACACUUUCCAUUCUAGCUUGGUCAAAGAGUCUCUGUUCAUGACAUGAUCUAUUCUGUGGCAGUUUUGAAGCUGGUUUUAAUUGUGAAGAUACUGAAGAAUGGCCAAGUACUGAUCACUGUAAAGAAGCAGAUGAGUUUGUCCAUCUGAUUUUCAGGUAUUUAGGUGAUUCUGGAAUUAAUAACAUCUUUGCCUGUUGGCUCAGAGAACAGAGGAGGCCACUGGAUUUUCAGUGAAGACAGAAGAAAAGCUGAGGAUCCAAAUACAGGAAGGUGGUGUUAACUAAAGUAAGUGAAGAGGUUACAACUGGUGUGACUGCAAAGAAGGGAGAGAAAAGGAGAAAAUGAGAUGCUCCAUUAGAAAACACCAUUCAGAAGUGACAGAUUAAGCUACUUGAAAUGAAGGCAAACGAGUGUUUUUCCAGACUGUGUGAAGACUCCAGUUUCCUCCUCCACCCCCAUUCCCUUUGAAACUAAAACAAAAAAAUAGAACUUCAUCAAAACCCUGAAGUAGGAGAAAAAUCCAUCUGCUCACCUAAUGAAGAUGAGUGGUACAAGUCUGUGCUGCUGACUGUCCCCACCUCCAUCUCUUUAAAGCUUAAGCAUGAUAAGAGGCAAAGAAGAGCUGCAGUAACAAGAGGACUUUGGAACUGAAGAAAGACCUGAAGAAAACAAGCCUUGGAUUGCAUCCACUCAAGCCCAGAAGACAGAGUUGAGUGCAGCACACAUUUGCAUUGGCUGCGGGUACUCGGUGCUCAUUUGCUAAAGAACAAAGUAGCCAGUGCCAAGGAACAGAAAUUAGGAGUGUGAGACGGUGCUGCAGCUCACCAGGUGUGUGGGUGAGGACAGACAACCACGAUUAAAGGUAGGUUCAUUACAGAGCUGAGAAGAGAUCAAGCCCUGAUGGGUCUUUAAAAGGUGCCAAGCUGGAGCACCACUGCAAGAGUGAUGGCUGGAUGUCAGUGCAUGGAAAACAGGAUGAGAACUGUCUUAAGAGAGUGAGAAAGAGGGGGAAAAUGCCCAACCAAAGAGAAAACCCUUCACAUAACAGUGUUGUUCCAUUUGCUGGGGGUGGGUGUCUGAUCAUCUUGUACCAUUGCCGACUAAUAGCACAGCAGGAUGUGGGGCCCGACAGGCACACCAGGGCUGAUCCAAGGGGUGAUAUCUGGCAGGAUUCUGGGGCAGAGACUGACUCUGCUCAGCUGGCACAUGACGACAGGGCUUCCAAAACUCCUGCCCUGUGUCUGGAGGCUGAGGUGGCAAUGCCUUCUCUG